rnacentral:rRNA from 1 species
GCCAGACUCCUACGGGAGGCAGCAGUGAGGAAUAUUGGUCAAUGGGCUUACGCCUGAACCAGCCAAGUCGCGUGAGGGAAGGCUGCCCUAUGGGUUGUAAACCUCUUUUGCCGGGGAGCAACGGGCGUCACGUGUGGCGCCACUGAGAGUACCCGGAGAAAAAGCAUCGGCUAACUCCGUGCCAGCAGCCGCGGUAAUACGUAGGGGGCGAGCGUUAUCCGGAUUCACUGGGUGUAAAGGGAGCGUAGACGGCGACGCAAGUCUGGAGUGAAAGCCCGGGGCCCAACCCCGGGACUGCUCUGGAAACUGCGGCGCUGGAGUACGGGAGGGGCAGGCGGAAUUCCUGGUGUAGCGGUGAAAUGCGUAGAUAUCAGGAGGAACACCGGCGGCGAAGGCGGCCUGCUGGACCGUGACUGACGUUGAGGCUCGAGAGCGUGGGGAGCAAACAGGAUUAGAUACCCCAGUA